rnacentral:pre_miRNA from 14 species
UUUCAACCCUGACUUGAAAGACCCCCAGAGCUGGGAGACCCUCACUCAAGUCUCAGGAUGACACGACCACCCAAGAACUCACAAGAGACU